rnacentral:misc_RNA from 1 species
GCAAACUUGGUCAUUUAGAGGAAGUAAAAGUCGUAACAAGGUUUCCGUAGGUGAACCUGCGGAAGGAUCAUUACAAGGUUAAAAAAAGCCGUGAAAACGGUUUAAAAAAACCUGAUCAUUCACUUUGUGCACUUAUUGAAACUAUUGCUUUGGCAGGCUUUUCGAUUUUUGUUUAAAGAUUGAAAAUUUUGGAGUGUUUUUCUAAAAAAAAAAAAACCUCCAGGUCUGCCAGAGUUUUCUACUAUUUAAUAUAGCCUGAUUUUACUUGUCUGAAGUUUUUUUAAAAUAAAUUUAAAUACAACUUUCAACAACGGAUCUCUUGGCUCUCGCAUCGAUGAAGAACGCAGC